AUUGAACGCUAGCGGCAUGCCUUACACAUGCAAGUCGAACGGAUUGGCGAACGGGUGAGUAAUGUAUCGGAACGUGCCCAGUCGCGGGGUAUAACUACGCGAAAGCGUAGCUAAUACCGCAUACUAUUGGAGCGGCCUAUAUCGGAUUAGCUAGUUGGUGGGGAAACGGCUCACCAAGGCGACGAUCCGUAGCUGGUUUGACAGGACGACCGGCCACACUGGGACUGAGACACGGCCCGGACUCCUACGGGAGGCAGCAGUGGGGAAUUUUGGGCAAUGGGGGAAACCCUGAUCCAGCCAUCCCGGGUGUGCGAUGACGGCCUUCGGGUUGUAAAGCACUUUUGGCAGGAAAGCGGUACCUGCAGAAUAAGCACCGGCUAACUACGUGCCAGCAGCCGCGGUAAUAC
rnacentral:rRNA from 1 species